AUUGAACGCUGGCGGCAUGCCUUACACAUGCAAGUCGAACGGUAACAGGUCUUCGGAUGCUGACGGGUGGCGAACGGGUGAGUAAUACAUCGGAACGUGCCCGAGAGUGGGGGAUAACGAAGCGAAAGCUUUGCUAAUACCGCAUACGAUCUCAGGAUGAAAGCAGGGGACCGCAAGGCCUUGCGCUCACGGAGCGGCCGAUGGCAGAUUAGGUAGUUGGUGGGAUAAAAGCUUACCAAGCCGACGAUCUGUAGCUGGUCUGAGAGGACGACCAGCCACACUGGGACUGAGACACGGCCCAGACUCCUACGGGAGGCAGCAGUGGGGAAUUUUGGACAAUGGGCGAAAGCCUGAUCCAGCCAUGCCGCGUGCAGGAUGAAGGCCUUCGGGUUGUAAACUGCUUUUGUACGGAACGAAAAGACUCUGGUUAAUACCUGGAGUCCAUGACGGUACCGUAAGAAUAAGCACCGGCUAACUACGUGCCAGCAGCCGCCGUAACAC
rnacentral:rRNA from 1 species